AACCUCCGCAAUGUGAGAAAUCGCGACGGGGGGAUCCCAAGUGCCAUUCUUAACGGGAUGGCUUUUCAUUAGUGUAAAGAGCUUUUGGAAUAAGGGCUGGGCAAGACCGGUGCCAGCCGCCGCGGUAACACCAGCAGCUCUAGUGGUAGCAGUUUUUAUUGGGCCUAAAGCGUCCGUAGCCGGUUUAAUAAGUCUCUGGUGAAAUCCUGUAGCUUAACUGUGGGAAUUGCUGGAGAUACUAUUAGACUUGAGACCGGGAGAGGUUAGAGGUACUCCCAGGGUAGAGGUGAAAUUCUGUAAUCCUGGGAGGACCGCCUGUUGCGAAGGCGUCUAACUGGAACGGUUCUGACGGUGAGGGACGAAAGUUAGGGGCGCGAACCGGAUUAGAUACCCGGGUAGUCCUAACCGUAAACGAUGCGGACUUGGUGUUGGGGUGGCUUUGAGCUGCUCCAGUGCCGAAGGGAAGCUGUUAAGUCCGCCGCCUGGGAAGUACGGUCGCAAGACUGAAACUUAAAGGAAGU
rnacentral:rRNA from 1 species